AUGCCGUCGCGGAAAGGGGUUUUAAACCGUUUGUUUAGGACCGACGCACACCAUGAUGGAUGUAAUUGUAUAUUCAGGAGGAUGAUGGUUGGGAGAAAAAGAGGAAGCUGGACCUUACUGGGUUCAAGGACCCGUACGAUCCAGGGUAUAGUGACGACGAAGAGUAUGAGUAUGUCUCUGGAGAAGAUGUGGAUGUGGAGGACGGCAAGUUCGCGUCCUUCAAAGCGAAGGAAGAGGAGAAGAUCAGGGCCAAGGGAGAUGAUUACUACUACAAGCGCAAGACCAACAUUUGGCACUGCCCCUACUGCACCACCAAGCCAAAGCCAGUCCGGCCGCUUCAUUUAA
rnacentral:rRNA from 1 species